rnacentral:rRNA from 1 species
CCUACGGGGGGCUGCAGUGAGGAAUAUUGGUCAAUGGACGAGAGUCUGAACCAGCCAAGUAGCGUGAAGGAUGACUGCCCUAUGGGUUGUAAACUUCUUUUAUAUGGGAAUAAAACGUUCCACGUGUGGGAUUUUGUAUGUACCCUAUGAAUAAGGAUCGGCUAACUCCGUGCCAGCAGCCGCGGUAAUACGGAGGAUCCGAGCGUUAUCCGGAUUUAUUGGGUUUAAAGGGAGCGUAGGUGGAUUGUUAAGUCAGUUGUGAAAGUUUGCGGCUCAACCGUAAAAUUGCAGUUGAAACUGGCAGUCUUGAGUACAGUAGAGGUGGGCGGAAUUCGUGGUGUAGCGGUGAAAUGCUUAGAUAUCACGAAGAACUCCGAUUGCGAAGGCAGUUCACUGGACUGCAACUGACACUGAGGCUCGAAAGUGUGGGUAUCAAACAGGAUUAGAUACCCCUGUAGUC